UUCGUUUUACUUGGAAAACAUUCCUCUGUUCCUUUUUGUUUUUCUCAAAAAAGAUUGUUUUCAGGUUAUACCAUACCAAAAGGAUGGAAAGUUUUGGUGUGGUCCAGGGCUACUUACAUGGAUCCUAACAUUUAUUCUAACCCAAAAGAGUUCCUUCCUUCCAGAUGGGAGGCUUAAAGAGCUAAAUCCAAAAGCUCCAAUCAAGCACCUACACUUGCCACGCCCAGCAGACGACUGUCUUGCAAGAAUCAUUAAGCUCCCAUAAUCAUCUCAUUUGGGAUCAAAUUCCUUUCUCUGCUUAACCUUAGUUUUACCAAGAAACAUAGAGUUUAAUAAGAUGUUUUCUCAUGUGAAUCAUCGAGUGGAAUAUGUAAGAUGCUUUGUGUUAAGAAUAAAUGUUAGUUCUUGGUAGGUUUA